CCACGGUUCCUUCGGGAACAGGGGUCAAAGGUAGCCUCUGCAUGCAAGCUACACGAGAUGGGCCCGCGUACCAUUAGCUAGUUGGUAGGGUAACGGCUACGGCAAAGAUGGUUAGCUGGUCUGAGAGGAUGAUCAGCCACACUGAAAGACACGGUCCAGACUCCUACGGGAGGCAGCAGUGGGGAAUAUGCGUGGGCGAAAGCCUGACGCAGCAACGCCGCGUGAGUGAUGAAGGCUUGUCGUAAAGCUCUGUCGGAGGGAACGAAUGCUCUCGAGGUUAAAGCGGGAAGUGACGGUACCCUCAAAGGAAGCACCGGCUAACUCUGUCCACGCGGUAAUACAAAAGGUGC
rnacentral:rRNA from 1 species